UACGUAGGUGGCGAGCGUUGUCCGGAUUUACUGGGCGUAAAGAGUGUGUAGGCGGUGUUCCCAGUCUGUUGUGAAAUCUCCCGGCUUAACUGGGAGGGUGCAGCGGAAACUAGAAUGCUAGAGGGUGGGAGAGGUAAGCGGAAUUCCUGGUGUAGCGGUGAAAUGCGUAGAUAUCAGGAGGAACACCUGUGGUGUAGACAGCUUACUGGACCACUUCUGACGCUGAGACACGAACGCGUGGUAG
rnacentral:rRNA from 1 species